AAUUCGUGGUGUAGCGGUGAAAUGCUUAGAUAUCACGAAGAACUCCGAUUGCGAAGGCAGCUCACUGGACUGCAACUGACACUGAUGCUCGAAAGUGUGGGUAUCAAACAGGAUUAGAUACCCUGGUAGUCCACACAGUAAACGAUGAAUACUCGCUGUUUGCAAGGGCCAAGCGAAAGCAUUAAGUAUUCCACCUGGGGAGUACGCCGGCAACGGUGAAACUCAAAGGAAUUGACGGGGGCCCGCACAAGCGGAGGAACAUGUGGUUUAAUUCGAUGAUACGCGAGGAACCUUACCCGGGCUUAAAUUGAAGGUGCUGCAUGGUUGUCGUCAGCUCGUGCCGUGAGGUGUCGGCUUAAGUGCCAUAACGAGCGCAACCCUUAUCUUUAGUUACGACUCUAGAGAGACUGCCGUCGUAAGAUGGAGGAAGGUGGGGAUGACGUCAAAUCAGCACGGCCCUUACGUCCGGGGCUACACACGUGUUACAAUGGGGGGUACAGAAGGCAGCUAGCGGGUGACCGUAUGCUAAUCCCAAAAUCCUCUCUCAGUUCGGAUCGAAGUCUGCAACCCGACUUCGUGAAGCUGGAUUCGCUAGUAAUCGCGCAUCAGCACGGCGCGGU
rnacentral:rRNA from 1 species